GUCUACGGCAGUACCACCCUGAACACGCUGGAUCUUGUCUGAUCUCGGAAGCUAAGCAGGUCAAGCCUAGUUAGUACUUGGAUGGGAGACUGCCUGGGAGUAUGGGGUCCUGCAGGCU
rnacentral:rRNA from 1 species